rnacentral:rRNA from 1 species
GAUGAACGCUGGCGGCGUGCUUAACACAUGCAAGUCGAACGGAAAGGCCCCUUUGGGGGUACUCGAGUGGCGAACGGGUGAGUAACACGUGAGUAACCUGCCCUUGACUUCGGGAUAACUUCAGGAAACUGGGGCUAAUACCGGAUAGGAAUCCUUGCUGCAUGGUGGGGGUUGGAAAGCUUCGGCGGUUUUGGAUGGACUCGCGGCUUAUCAGCUUGUUGGUGGGGUAGUGGCUUACCAAGGCUUUGACGGGUAGCCGGCCUGAGAGGGCGACCGGCCACAUUGGGACUGAGAUACGGCCCAGACUCCUACGGGAGGCAGCAGUGGGGAAUAUUGCACAAGGGGCGGAAGCCUGAUGCAGCAACGCCGCGGGCGGGAUGACGGCCUUCGGGUUGUAAACCGCGUUCAGCAGGGGCGAAGCUUGUGGUGACGGUACCUGCAGAAGAAGCACCGGCUAACUACGUG